rnacentral:misc_RNA from 1 species
AUCAUUAGCGAGUUCACAGCAACUCCCAACCCGUGCAAACCUACCGCAUCCUGCCCGAGCGCCCGUUGCCUCCUGGCGGGCGGCGCGUCAGCCCCCUGUAAAACGGGAGCUGAUGCCGCCGCCCGACGGGGGCGCGGCGUGGCCGCUCACCGUGAACCUUCUGUAUCGUAUCUUGACGUCUGAGCAGAAACCACUGAAUCGUUAAAACUUUCAACAACGGAUCUCUUGGUUCUGGCAUCGAUGAAGAACGCAGCAAACUGCGAUAAGUAAUGCGAAUUGCAGAAUUCAUCGAGUCAUCGAAUCUUUGAACGCACAUUGCGCCCGCCAGCACUCUGGCGGGCAUGCCUGUCCGAGCGUCAUUUCCUCCCUCACGCAGCACGCCUGCGUGGUGUUGGGGCGAUCUGCGGCGGUGGCGUCCCCUCACAAGGGGGCGCAGGCACAGGACACCCCUAAAGACAGUCCCGUUUCUGCGGUUGACUCCGAACGCAGUAAGCAUUAUUGCCCUCGCUCUGGAUUGCCCCCAGCCUGCGACCUGACCUAGACAGCAAACGCUCGUCUACCCUUUUUUUACAAGGUUGACCUCCGAUUAUGUAUUACUACCCGAUGAACUUCAGCAUUUCAAUAA